rnacentral:lncRNA from 1 species
AUGAUCAGGCCACAAGAAAAUUAGGUAACAUUUUCCCCUACUGUGAUUUAUGGUUUAGUCCUAUGACAUAUAAAGAAAACAUAAGAAUGCAUGAAAUAUUCUGCAGCUGCCAGGUAGUUUUUAUUUUCCAAAACAUUCUUAUUGCUUGUUGUGCUAUGAACACUUGGCUCCUCUACAGUCGUUUUGCUGUUUAGUAUUAAAAUAAUGUGAUCCAAUUUUUCUUCUUGCCACCAUUUUCCAAAAGCCCUAAUUAUGCUUCACGGGAUAUUGUAAACAGAAUUUGUUGUUUUUUCUCAUUUGUCAAAGUGACAGCUGCUUAAAAUUCAUCAGCGUCCUUGCGUUGCUAUAAGGCUUAAGAAAUAGGAUAGUAAGUAGUCACGCUUUACUUUCUAUGCUAUUGUGGAAGAUACAUUUACUGAACACUUGGUUUUGUUUCUAAAUCAAUUUAAGCACCACAUUUUACCUCUCCCCGACUGCAGAAUGAGGUUGUGGGGAAUGAAAUGGAACAGUGAGCCAAUCAAAAGGCAGAAUACUGAAAAUGUCAAAGUACAGUGCAACAUGUGUCCUCAUUUUAUGGUUCUUGAAUUCCAUGGCUCAAAAAUCAUCGGAUCUGGCCCUGUCAUGCUUGGUGCAACACUGGGGUAAGGUGAGACAAAAGUGGCUUUUAAUCAUCCUUUCUGCUCUCCUGAUCCUGGCACUAUUGGGGACUGAUCCAGUCCCUUGUGUAAGGAUACGUCUAUACUUACCCGCUGGUUCGGCGGCAAGCAAUCGAUCUUCUGGGAUCGAUUUAUUGCUUCUUGUCUAGACGCGAUAAAUCGAUCCCAGAAGUGCUUGCCGUCAACGCCGGUAAUCCUGCUCCACGAGAGGAGUAGGCGGAGUUGACGGGGGAGCCUGCCUGCCGCGUGUGGACCUGCGGUCAGUACCUUUAAGUUUGAACUAAGAUACUUUGACUUCAGCUACGUUAUUCACGUAGCUGAAGUUGCAUAUCUUAGUUCGAACUGGGGGCUUAGUGUUGACCAGCCCUAAGUUAGAACAACCUUUAAACUGCUCUGAUUUACAAACAUCUGCCUGAGGAGGGGGAAAUCUUCAUGGUCUUGGUCCAGUAGCUUUAUUGCUGUUUAGUGCUGGUGGAACAAGGUUGAAGAUCUGGGCCCAUAGUUUAGGGUUUGCCUGUACCAUUUCUACAUUACAAUUCUGACAUUUAAUAGUACAGAUAUGACAAUUAAUGUUCACGAGUUACUGUACAUAGAAUCAUA